rnacentral:rRNA from 1 species
CAUGCGAGUCCAGAGCUUUCGGAGCUCGGCGUACCGCUCAGUAACACGUGGGUAACCUCACUUAUGCAGGGGAAUAACCUCGGGAAACUGAGUAUAAUGCCCCCUAUUCCACUACGCCUGGAACGGUGAGUGGAUCAAAGCUCAGGCGGCAUAGGAUGGGCCUGCGGCGUAUCAGGUUGUAGGGGGUGUAAAGUACCCUCUAGCCAUCUACGCGUACGGGUGUUGGGAGACAUAGCCCGGAGAUGGAUUCUGAGACACGAAUCCAGACCCUACGGGGUGCAGCAGGCGCGAAAACUUGACAAUGCGAGCAAUCGUGAUCAGGGAACUCCAAGUGGCUGGGGUAAGACCCAGUCUUUUCAUAACUCUUCAAAGGUUGUAGAAUAAGGGGUGGGUAAGGACGGUGCCAGCCGCCGCGGUAAUACCGGCGCCUCAAGUGGUAGUCGCUUUUAUUGGGCCUAAAACGUCCGUAGCCGGUUUGGUACAUUCGUGGGUAAAUCAACUCGCUCAACGAGUUGAAUUCUGCGAGGACGGCCAGACUUGGGACCGGGAGAGGUGUGGGGUACUCUCAGGGUAGGGGUAAAAUCCUGUCAUCCUGAGAGGACCACCUGUUGCGAAGGCGCCACACUAGAACGGAUCCGACGG